rnacentral:lncRNA from 10 species
GCCCUCCGCGGCUCCUGCGCGACCCCACGCAAAAGCGCCCCGUGCGAAGAGCGCGGCCAGCCAGUCCGCAAAGGGCCUCGGGCAGUGCGGGCAGCACGAACGGCGCGAUCGGGGAGCAGGCGCGGCUACGCUCCGCCUCAGUGAUGUCGCCGGGAGGAUCUCCGCGCGGCUACCUCCUCUUCCGCCGCCUUCCUCCCACGCCUUCACCUCCCUCCCCCGCCGCGCUCUGCGGCGAAAAGGAGCGGGCUCCCAGGCCACCUCCCCUCUCUCCACCCAGGGGCCGCGCGUCAGUGGACCUGCAGCCCAGGCAACGGGGCUGCGGACGGCGCGCGUGCCCUGCCUCGCCUCACGCCGGUAGCUGAUGCUCCCGCGGCAGCUGCCACCCCAGCGCCCCAGCCACGGCUUCAGAGGCUCUCGCACGCUGGCUUUUUUUUUUUCCCCCCGCUUUGGUGAACUCGCAGUACUUGGGCUGAGCCCGAAAUCUCGCGAGAUGCUGCAGGCGUCAGUGCGGCUUCCCACUAGGCGCGUGGUACCCGAGGCCGGGCCGGAGCCGCAGGCCAGCCGCGAUUCCUUCGGGCGAUGCUGGGGGCUUUCCGGUCGGGGCCGCAGCCGCUUCCGGAGCCGCGGGCGAGGUGCAAGCGGUCUUCUCUGUCUUCUUUAUGGCCAGUAAAAUUCUCCAGAAGAGAUUUAUGGCAGCCUCACUCCCAGUAGUUUCUGCAUUUAGUGAGAUAAGAUGGAAUCUUGCUCUCUUGCUCAGACUGGAGUGCAGUGGCAUGACCUUGGCUCACUGCAACCUCACCUCUCGGGUUCAAGCGAUUCUGCCUCAGCCUCUCGAGUAGCUGGGACUACAGGUGGGAGACCUCCACAGAACCCUUCCAGCAAGCUGUCUUCUAAAGCAAACAAGAAAAGGAAAGUCUGAGCAGUUUUGAUUAGAUUUCCCAGAAGUCAAAGCAAGGAAAAAUGAAAAAGCUUCAUUUCUCACGUUCUUAAAAGAGAGCACAGAUGUUGCAUCAUCUGGUUAGAUACCCUGAGAAUAAAAUCUGGAUCCAGUGAGAGGAAAGAUUCUGGGUGCUCAUGAAAAAAGAAACAAAACAAAACUUGGGAGCCUCUUGAGAGUGUACAGCAUCAGCCCUUGCCAACUCUUGUUUAUAUGCAUUUAACUUUCAGUUAACCAUGGGAAUAAUUCAUGAAAAUCCAAUCUACAAACAAAGGCCAUCCUAACGUUCAUGUUAUUCUUUUCCCUAAGAAUCUUUCACAAGAGCUAUAAUCAAGUAGAAUUAUGCUUUGAUUUGAAUUCUAAUUCAAUUGAAAAUAAAAAAUGAGGGCCGGACGCGGUGGCUCAUGCCUGUAAUCCCAGCGCUUUGGGAGGCUGAGGUGGACGGAUCACGAGGUCAGGAGAUCGAGACCAUCCUGGCUAACACGGUGAAACCCGAUCCCUACUAAAAAUACAAAAAAUUAGCCGGGCGUGGUGGCAGGCGCCUGUAGUCCCAGCUACUCGGGAGGCUGAGGCAGGAGAAUGGCGUGAACCCAGGAGGCAGAGGUUGCAGUGAGCCGAGAUCAUGCUACUGCACUCCAGCCUGGGCGACAGAGCGAGACUCUGUGUAUAAAUAAAUAAAUAAAUAAAUAAAUAACGAAAAGGUUGCCAUUGCCCUUUCUGGGGAAAGUGAUAAUGAGGAAAGACUAGUUUCUUAACCCAAGUCAGCUUUAGAGUCGGCAAGGAUGCAAUUUGAGGUGAUCCAGGAAAACUCUAUUAGCAUGGUAUUUCCCAUACAGAUUCAUUUCUUUUAGGCCUGAAGUCUUUUUGGCACUUCUUAAUAAAAUCACAGAUACCUCUUGGACAUGAAAGCUUAUCCUUUAUCAAUUUCUAUCAGUUAACCACUCAGAUGAGGAUAAAGGCCUGAGUCAGAAAGGACAGAGAGAGGUUCCACAAAGAGAUAAAAGAUGAGUGGCCAUAAGGAGUCCUUGAAAACACACCUCUCUAGCCCAUCAAAAAAUGCAGCACCUUAAACUCAAGUCCAUCUUACUAGCCUUUAGCAGUACCCCACCACUCUCAAAAUUUCCAGCAUUAAAUGUCUCGGAGCUAUAUAAAAGGCAGACUUAGGUAUAAGUAGGAAGAGAUAUCAAGGGCUUGGGUAUCAUUUCAGCACUAAUGGAGCUUAUGG